rnacentral:rRNA from 1 species
AUACGUAGGGCGCGAGCGUUGUCCGGAAUUAUUGGGCGUAAAGAGCUCGUAGGCGGUUUGUUGCGUCUGCUGUGAAAACGCGGGGCUUAACUUCGCGCGUGCAGUGGGUACGGGCAGGCUAGAGUGCGGUAGGGGAGAUUGGAAUUCCUGGUGUAGCGGUGGAAUGCGCAGAUAUCAGGAGGAACACCGAUGGCGAAGGCAGGUCUCUGGGCCGUUACUGACGCUGAGGAGCGAAAGCGUGGGGAGCGAACAGGAUUAGAUACCCUGGUAGUCCAUGCUGUAAACGUUGGGCACUAGGUGUGGGGGCCUUUCCGGGUUUCUGCGUCGUAGCUAACGCUUUAAGUGCCCCGCCUGGGGAGUACGGCCGCAAGGCUAA